GGACGUAUAAAUCAAUUCUUCUGAAAAUCCGAUAGAGUAAUACUUUGUUUUUAGUGAACCAGACAAUAGCUUUCCCUCUCAUUAGGAGAGCUUGUGGUAUAAUAAAUGUUUCACUGUCGCAAUGGCCAGGAUUUAUAAAGCGUGUCUAGUGUUGGUGUUUAUAUUGGCGGCAGAUCUAAACGUGUCCGGUACCUAUGAAGAUCGAUGGAAGCACGACGAAAUUAAAAGAAGACACGUGUCGUUUUCAUACAUAAACGACGCUAGAGUUGCAGCAGAAUUGUACUUCGUACCUCCAUAUAAUGGACGGACAGCUCGACUAAGAUCUAUUAUAUUUAAUAAUGUAAUGGAAGACGCAUUACACGGACUGACCUCAAGAAACAAUCAUAAAUUUGUGAGUGCACACGUUCGAAGAGGACUCUAUAUUCUGAACUUCGUAAUCAAUAGAAUUCAACUGCCUAUUGGUUAGGCAACUACGGCGAUUAAUAAUAUAAUAAAUUUCGGAAAUAAGAAUUAACAAAUUAUACUUAUUACUUACUGUUUAUUUAGUUCCAAACCUGACUGAAACAAGGUAGGUGCUAA